AAGAACCUUGUGGAUUAGGCCUUGGACCACUUGCUGUCAAAUUUUGCCUAAUAGAUCGAGCCUGAUUGAGAGACCAAUCAAUCUCAAUUGUUGGUCCACCUGGGGGAGGACCAGAAACACCUCCCGCUGAGUUGCUGUAGUGAAGAAUUGAUGUUGCUGUUAGCACUGGUGAAGUGAAACGCGUUGAGGCGACAAUGUAAU
rnacentral:misc_RNA from 1 species